rnacentral:rRNA from 1 species
AAGACCUUGCGCUUUUGGAGCGGCCGAUGCCUGAUUAGCUUGUUGGUAAGGUAAAAGCUUACCAAGGCUUCGAUCAGUAGCUGGUCUGAGAGGACGACCAGCCACACUGGGACUGAGACACGGCCCAGACUCCUACGGGAGGCAGCAGUGGGGAAUUUUGGACAAUGGGGGCAACCCUGAUCCAGCCAUGCCGCGUGAGUGAAGAAGGCCUUCGGGUUGUAAAGCUCUUUCAGCCGGAACGAAACGGUUACGGUUAACACCCGUGACUACUGACGGUACCGGAAGAAGAAGCACCGGCUAACUACGUGCCGGCAGCCGCGGUAAUACGUAGGGUGCGAGCGUUAAUCGGAAUUACUGGGCGUAAAGCGUGCGCAGGUGGUUUUGUAAGUCAGAUGUGAAGGCCCCGGGCUCAACCUGGGAACU